UCAUUACUGAGUGAAGGGCCCCUGGCCCGACCUCCAACCCCCUGUGAUUACAACCCCGUUGCUUCGGGGGCGCCCCCGCCGUCCGCGGCGCCGGGCCCCCCGGAGGUGACCACCAACUCUGCUGUCCUCUGCGUCGGAGUAUUGAUUUUCAAUCAGUUAAAACUUUCAACAACGGAUCUCUUGGUUCUGGCAUCGAUGAAGAACGCAGCGAAAUGCGAUAAGUAAUGUGAAUUGCAGAAUUCAGUGAAUCAUCGAAUCUUUGAACGCACAUUGCGCCCUCUGGUAUUCCGGGGGGCAUGCCCGUUCGAGCGUCAUUACACCACUCAAGCCUCGCUUGGUCUUGGGCGCCGCGGCCUGCCCGCGCGCCUCAAAGUCACCGGCCGGGUGACCCGUCUCGGAGCGUCGUAGCCAUCGUGUUUCGCUCGCGGGGAUCGGGUCGCCGUCGGCGCCGUUAAACGUCUCUCAUUAGGUGA
rnacentral:rRNA from 1 species